AAACGAAGUCAGCCGUAAGAGGCUAAAGGGUUGUUUUAGUGGAGACCAGUGGCUAAGUCCGGAUAGGCAAGAGG
rnacentral:lncRNA from 1 species